UGGGAUUAAACGUGUGUGACACCAA
rnacentral:misc_RNA from 1 species